rnacentral:tRNA from 1 species
GUUUAAAUAGUAUAAGAUAUAUAAUACGUUACUUUUUCGUAGUAAAGAUGGCCGCUCUUUAAAUA